CAGCAGCCGCGGUAAUACAGAGGGUGCGAGCGUUAAUUGGAUUUACUGGGCGUAAAGCGUGCGUAGGCGGCUAAUUGAGUCGGAUGUGAAAUCCCCGAGCUUAACUUGGGAAUUGCAUUCGAUACUGGUUAGCUAGAGUGUGGGAGAGGAUGGUAGAAUUCCAGGUGUAGCGGUGAAAUGCGUAGAGAUCUGGAGGAAUACCGAUGGCGAAGGCAGCCAUCUGGCCUAACACUGACGCUGAGGUACGAAAGCAUGGGGAGCAAACAGGAUUAGAUACCCGAGUAGUCCCUGUCUCUUAUAA
rnacentral:rRNA from 1 species